rnacentral:rRNA from 1 species
GAUGAACGCUGGCGGCGUGCCUAAUACAUGCAAGUCGAGCGAACAGACGAGGAGCUUGCUCCUCUGACGUUAGCGGCGGACGGGUGAGUAACACGUGGAUAACCUACCUAUAAGACUGGGAUAACUUCGGGAAACCGGAGCUAAUACCGGAUAAUAUAUUGAACCGCAUGGUUCAAUAGUGAAAGACGGUUUUGCUGUCACUUAUAGAUGGAUCCGCGCCGCAUUAGCUAGUUGGUAAGGUAACGGCUUACCAAGGCAACGAUGCGUAGCCGACCUGAGAGGGUGAGGGGCGAGACUGGGAGUGAGACACGGGCCAUAGUCCUACGGGAGGGAGCAGUAGGUAAUCUUCGGAAAUGGGGGGAAGUCUGAAAGAGCAACAGCGAGUGAGUGAAGAAGAUUUUUGGAUCGUAAAGCCCUGUUGUAAGGGAAGAAAAAGAGGGGGAGGGGAAAGUUCACGGUGGGACGGUAUCUUACCAGAAAGGGAAGGCUAACUACGUG